CCAGACAGCCAGGAUGUUGGCUUAGAAGCAGCCAUCAUUUAAAGAAAGCGUAAUAGCUCACUGGUCGAGUCGGCCUGCGCGGAAGAUGUAACGGGGCUAAACCAUGCACCGAAGCUGCGGCAGCGACACUGUGUGUUGUUGGGUAGGGGAGCGUUCUGUAAGCCUGCGAAGGUGGCCUGUGAGGGUUGCUGGAGGUAUCAGAAGUGCGAAUGCUGACAUAAGUAACGAUAAAGCGGGUGAAAAGCCCGCUCGCCGGAAGACCAA
rnacentral:rRNA from 1 species